AGCGAACGCUGGCGGCAGGCUUAACACAUGCAAGUCGAACGGGCGUAGCAAUACGUCAGUGGCAGACGGGUGAGUAACGCGUGGGAACGUACCUUUUGGUUCGGAACAACCCAGGGAAACUUGGGCUAAUACCGGAUAAGCCCUUACGGGGAAAGAUUUAUCGCCGAAAGAUCGGCCCGCGUCUGAUUAGCUAGUUGGUGUGGUAACGGCGCACCAAGGCGACGAUCAGUAGCUGGUCUGAGAGGAUGAUCAGCCACAUUGGGACUGAGACACGGCCCAAACUCCUACGGGAGGCAGCAGUGGGGAAUAUUGGACAAUGGGCGCAAGCCUGAUCCAGCCAUGCCGCGUGAGUGAUGAAGGCCCUAGGGUUGUAAAGCUCUUUUGUGCGGGAAGAUAAUGACGGUACCGCAAGAAUAAGCCCCGGCUAACUUCGUGCCAGCCGCCGCUGUAAC
rnacentral:rRNA from 1 species